ACACUGGACGAAGAGAAAUUUCUGCUUGGAAGUGGAGUCCAAAAAAAUUGUUAGCUUUGAAAUCAGCACGUGAAAUUUUUGGCUUAGUGGUAAAUAAUAUUACUUUAGUGACUGUCAUCUUGCUUGAACCGUGGAAACCAUCCUGUACAUCCAGCCGAAAUGCAUUUAACAGAAAAUAAGUUGAGCUGGAGCUCUGAAACCAAAGACUUUCGUACGAAAGAAGAAAUAGUAGAUUUUAGCGGGAAAGGACUUAAGUUAGACACAGAAACCGACGCCCAACCUAUUGUUGAUGCAAUUCAUGCUGCAAAAGGUUUGACAGGACUAAUUCUCGAAGGAAACACUCUUGGGGUAGAAGCUGCCAAAUCCAUAGCAAAAGCUCUUGAAUCAAAGCCAACAUUCCAAAGGGCACUGUGGAAGGAUGCAUUCACAGGCCGCUUGAAAGAUGAGAUUCCAAAAGCUUUGAGCUUCUUAGGUGGUGGCCUAAUCUUGGCAAAAGCUAACUUGGUUGAAUUAGACUUGAGUGAUAAUGCAUUAGGUCCUGUUGGAAUGGAAGGUCUGGUGCAGUUUUUGAAAAGCCCGGUCUGUUACUCUCUGAAGUGUAUAAGACUCAACAAUAAUGGCCUUGGGAUUUAUGGAGGAAGGAUGCUUGCCCAAGCUUUAAAUGACUGUCUUAAAGCUAGUAAAGAUGCUGGCUCACCAUUGACUCUUAAAACUUUCAUUGUUGGAAGAAAUCGCCUGGAGAACGAGGGAGCUAUUGCCCUCUCAGAAUUUUUUAAGGCUGUAGGGACCCUGGAAGAGGUUCAGAUGCCGCAAAAUUUUAUUAGACAUCCUGGUAUUUCUGCCUUGGCCAGCGCACUUGUUUACAACCCUGAUCUAAAAAUCCUCAACUUGAAUGAUAACACAUUCACUUGGCGAGGAUCACAAGCUAUUGCGGAAGCUCUUCCGAAAUGGCAGCAACUAUCCGUGAUCAAUUUCGGCGAUUGUUUAAUCCGUACGAAAGGAGCAGAAUUCCUGGCCAAGGCCCUGUCCAGUGGACACGAGCAUCUAAAGGAAGUGUAUAUGAAUCACGGCGAAAUUAAUCUGCCUGGAGCCAAGCAAUUGGCUAAUUCACUAAAAAACAAAAAAAUGCUUACAAUUUGUGAUCUAAAUGGCAACCAAUUCGGCGAAGAUGGAUGUCUGGAACUUAAAAAUAUCUUUAAUCCCUUUGGUGAUAAAAAAGUUCUGCAGAGUUUAAGUGAUGAUGAAGGUGAACCAAGCAGCGAAGAAGAAGAAAGUGGUGAGGAGGAGGAGAGUGACGAAGAACAUGAAGAAAAAACGGAUAUCCAAGAUAAAGAAAAGAAUGUCGAGCACAUCCCAACGGAUGAUGCCGUGCAUCAAAUUAAUACUAACCUGGCCCAUCUCACCGCAAACGAAAAUAUUCCGUUGAAUGUGGAAGCCUUUCUUAAUGCACCUACGUCGGCGCGCUUUUACGGCUUAGGCGACCAAAAAAUGCCGUUGAUUCUACAGCAUAUCGACAGUGUGAUAGCUUCCAAGCCGGACGAAAUUUUUGAUGUCUACGCUGAGGUCAUUAUGAAACUGAGUUCAACUGUUAAUCUGAGAUCAGAAAAGCAGUUACUUGAAGAAGUUCAGCAGUUAGUGGAAAUAAUAUUGAAAGUGGCGUUUGAAAAAGCCAAGACUACAGAGAAGAUGGCCUUAUGUAACAAUACAUUCUUCAUUUACAUGGGUCUUUUAAAGAGUGAGGAUAAACGAUUUCGGCCUUCGUGGCCAUUAAGUGGAUUCUUUCUGAUUCUGGAACGCAUCAUCACAACCAAUCCCGGCUGCAUUCCACCCAGUACCCUUCAGUCACUGGAAACCUUCUUUUCGCGGCCUCAGCAGGCUUUCGAAAUCUACAAAGAAGAAUCUGUAAGGUUAAGGAAAGCUCUGAAUAAGCCCUGAAGAUGAAGAGGCAUUCUUUAAUGAUUUGCUCAUAUUUUCAUUCAUUUCACUUCAGAUUACCACACAUCACAUACAUUGAAUUUGAUCACAGAAGUUUACAUAUUAAACCAGACUAAACGCUGAUUACGAUAACAUGGUUUCUAAUAAGUCUAACAAGCAUUUAAAAUAAUAAACAAAAUAUUUUGCAUAA